rnacentral:rRNA from 1 species
UACGGAGGGUGCAAGCGUUAUCCGGAUUCACUGGGUUUAAAGGGUGCGUAGGAGGGUAGGUAAGUCAGUGGUGAAAUCUUCGAGCUUAACUCGGAACUGCCGUUGAUACUAUCUAUCUUGAAUACCGUGGAGGUGAGCGGAAUAUGUCAUGUAGCGGUGAAAAUGCUUAGAUAUGACAUAGAACACCAAUUACGAAGGCAGCUCGCUACACGAAUAUUGACUCUGAGGCACGAAAGCGUGGGGAUCAAACAGG